rnacentral:lncRNA from 1 species
AUGAUCUUUCAUAUGUUUGACCAUAUAAGUCAUUGAUCCAUUAUCAUGAAUUGCUAGCAAUUUAAAGAAUUCAAACUUUUGUUAAAAGCAUUGAUUAGAAUAUAUUAUACAAUUAUCAAGUAUUAAAAAAGUCUUCUAAUGUCUAUUCUUGCUUAGCAUGGUUCCAAACUUGUAUGUCUUUUUCCCAUGAGGUUUCCCUCUACCUUUGUAUAUUUGACAAUAAAGCAUUUAUUUAAAAAAAAGAAAGCUGGUGAUUUUUUAGAAUUCUGUACAGUUCAUUAAUUACAUUUCUAUCAAUGAUUUGUAGAAAACAUUAAGGUUUUAAAAACCCUUCUAAAAAUUCUAGAAGACAGAGAGGGAGAGGCCCCACUUUUUGAAAUGGGUCCUCCCCAAAAAAAAAAACCCACAGAUGACAGAGAUCACAGAUUUUCUGACAGCGAAGAUGAAGUAGUAACUCUUCUUCUUCAAGAAAAUAUAGAUCAAUGAAGACACAAAAUCAAGAGCUUCAAGAAGAGCUAGAGAAAUGCACAAACAAGGAGUCGAGCCAGGUCCAGUCAAUAAUAUGGUGAUUUUGUCUGCGAGGCCCGAAGAGAGGAAACUUGCUGAAGGAUUAAGUCCUUCAAGUGGCAGAAAUUUAAAAAGACUUUGCCAGUUCUACAGCCCCUUUGGUCACCACAAUUGGGAUGUCGAGUUAGGAUUUUCGGGUGGAUUCUGCCUUCGGAAAAAUUCAAAUUGGAAGUGUCCUGUCAUACCAACAGCCAGCUGCAACAAACCACAACAUUGUUCCUAAUCGUGAUGCCCCACCAACACCACCACUGCCACUAGAUGGUUACAGCCACCUGUCUGCUUGUUUGUUCAUAAUAAUCAGGAACAACUUCACAUGAGGUCAUUGACCGUAACUUCAGAAAUGGCUCACUAUGUUGAGCAAGCCACCAGAUAUCAGAGUGCAUGUCUUGAUUGGCAUUCUGUUAGGAAAAUCCGGAUAACAUCGUCACGCUUUAGUAAGAUGUCUGUCAUGUGCGUGGCCAGACCUCAGCUGAACACCUGGCCUAAAGAAUGCACAAAAUAACUCGCCAGACAGCCGACAUGAAGCGAGGACUUCAAAUGGAGUCUGAAACAGUUAUGGAGUACUGCUUCCUCCGAGAGGUAAAUUACCAGCCAUGUGGAUUUUUAAUUCACCCUGAUGCUCCUUGGCUGGGGUCCCCUCCAGAUGGGAUCAUUUUUGACCACAACGAGCACCAUGUUUUAGGCCUUCUAUAAAUAAAAUGUCCCAACGUCAAAAGUUUUGUUGACUGUUCUUACCUCAAAUUUCACAAUGGCACACCAGAACUGAAACAGCAACAUGCCUACA